UCGCCGUCUCGUCGCAUGGUGGUCGGAGGGGUGAGAUGAUUGGCUCUGGUGGGUUCAGGCAUGUCUACCUCGGGAUGAAUCUGGACACUAGCGAGCUCCUCGCAGUAAAGCAGCUUUGAUUGGAAGCACCAACACGACCUGGGAGAAAGCCCAAGCACAUAUAAUAAGAUAACUCAAGGAAGAAGUGCAGCUCCUUAAGAACCUUUUGCACCCCGAUACUGCAG